AUUGAACGCUGGCGGCAGGCCUAACACAUGCAAGUCGAACGAGUGGCGGACGGGUGAGUAAUGUCUGGGAAACUGCCUGAUGGAGGGGGAUAACUACUGGAAACGGUAGCUAAUACCGCAUACCAUCGGAUGAGCCCAGAUGGGAUUUGCUAGUAGGUGGGGUAACGGCUCAACUAGGCGACGAUACCUAGCUGGUCUGAGAGGAUGACCAGCCACACUGGAACUGAGACACGGUCCAGACUCCUACGGGAGGCAGAAGUGGGGAAUAUUGCACAAUGGGCGCAAGCCUGAUUCAGCCAUGCCGCGUGUAUUAAGAAGGCCUUCGGGUUGUAAAGUACUUUCAUCGGGGAGGCGUUACCCGCAGAAGAAGCACCGGCUAACUCCGUGCCAGCAGCCGCGGUAAUAC
rnacentral:rRNA from 1 species